rnacentral:rRNA from 1 species
GAUGAACGCUGGCGGCGUGCCUAAUACAUGCAAGUCGAGCGAACGGACGAGAAGCUUGCUUCUCUGAUGUUAGCGGCGGACGGGUGAGUAACACGUGGAUAACCUACCUAUAAGACUGGGAUAACUUCGGGAAACCGGAGCUAAUACCGGAUAAUAUUUUGAACCGCAUGAUUCAAAAGUGAAAGACGGUCUUGCUGUCACUUAUAGAUGGAUCCGCGCUGCAUUAGCUAGUUGGUAAGGUAACGGCUUACCAAGGCAACGAUGCAUAGCCGACCUGAGAGGGUGAUCGGCCACACUGGAACUGAGACACGGUCCAGACUCCUACGGGAGGCAGCAGUAGGGAAUCUUCCGCAAUGGGCGAAAGCCUGACGGAGCAACGCCGCGUGAGUGAUGAAGGUCUUCGGAUCGUAAAACUCUGUUAUUAGGGAAGAACAUAUGUGUAAGUAACUGUGCACAUCUUGACGGUACCUAAUCAGAAAGCCACGGCUAACUACGUG